rnacentral:lncRNA from 1 species
AUGUGCUGCUGCUUCCACUUCCUUACGUGCUCUAUGCAUGGAACAGAGCCCCUCUCCAAGGAGACAGCUAUAAAGAGAGCUCAGUCAGAAGACCUGGCACAGCCAGAGCAGCAACCUGGUGCCCUUUUCAUCCCUUUUCCCUGUUUUUUCUAUGCUUGUUCCUUCCCAGGCUGCACUGGUCCCUCCCUUUCCGCCCUUCUUUGUUCUUCCCACAGACAUUCCAUGUUAAGCCCUGCACAAUCCCCAAGGCUCUUCUUGGAAUCCCCUAACAAGUCUGUGUGCCUUUGGGUAAUCACGCCUUGUGUUUUCUGGACAGACAAGAGAGCGCUGCGCUCCUUGGGGCAGACACAGGGGCCAUGGCGCUGCAGCCUUCAGGAUGGGCUCCUGUGCCGGUACUGGAUGGGAAGACUGUUGAAUAUUUUCACUAGGAGGUCACAGGAAUGGUCUGUGCCAGCAUUAGGGUAUGCCACCCUGCUCUUGAUAUCCCAGCCCUGCCAUUGCUGCCAGCUCCGUGCCUGUGAUCCCAACAGCUGA